UGAGGCAAGAGGACUGCUUGAGUCCAGGAGUUUGAGGCUACAGUGAGCUAUGAUGAUGCCACUGCACUCCAGCCUGGGUGACAGAGCAAGACCCUAUUCUU
rnacentral:miRNA from 1 species